AAGAGCUGGUGAGCAUUCACAGGAUCCCCAGAGAAUUUCUGGUGCAGAAGUGACACGGAUGGAAAGGGUGGCCUCUCCCAAGAGGCACAGCUGAUAACAAAGCAGGUUAAGCUCAGGAAAGUGUAUUUUCACUGAUUCCAGUCUAAGUGAUGGUGGAAGUGGAAGGGAUGAGAAGACUGGGACAGAUUACCCACAAAGGCUGUGGACUCCUCAUCCCUGCAGAUGUUCAAAACCAGGCUGGAAGGAGCUGUGAAUAACCUGGUCUAGGGAAAGAUUCCCUGCCCAUGGCAGAGAGGUUGGAAAGAGAUGAACUUAAAGUUUCCUUCCAACCCAGACUUUUCCAUGGUUCUGUUGUUCUAUGAGUGAGAAUAGAGAAAAAACAAAUUCAUCAAGAAGAUACAGCAUAUAACCUGCUGCAGCAAUGAAAAGAGUAAAUUUUGUGUUCUCUUCAAUGCCAGCAGUUCCUGUACCUAAAGAAAAGUGUAUUUCAUUUCAAAAAUAUAUUUUUCUGAAAAAUGGACAAGGAAUAGAAGACAGAGAGUGACACUGGUGCACUUUGCUGGACAGAAUACAGCUGAGAAAUUGUAUUGUUUCCCAUUUUUCCAUGCAAUGAAAAAAUUAAAACCUUAGGCAUUUCCUCUGACUAGGAACAACUCAUUAUAACUUGUAGAUGUCUAAUUAUAGAUCAAAAACAUAUAGAUAUAAAUGAUAAAAUGUUUACACUAUUCAUGUAGAUAGCUAAUGGAAUAAAAAAAAAGGGUAAUUUUUGAUGAAAGAGUCUGUUUCUCUCCAAUUACUGUAAAAGAGACUUUUUAGAAAGACAUCAGCAGCAGGAUAGCACCUCCAAGAUCAGGAGUUUGCACUUCUGAGAUUACACAGAUUGUAUUUUUGCACUCACCACCUAUGAAACAGACCUGUGCUUUUGUAGGAAAAUAUAUGAAAUAUAUCAGCAGGCUUUUGUAGUGUUUGUGUUUAUUCUACCUCUGCUUCCUCAGUGACUAUGUGUACACAUGCAGUGUAAGAAAAUCUAGUUGACCUUGUUAUCCAGGAUGAGGAAAGGAAUGAAAAACUCAUUUGUUGUUAUUAUUACUAAAGACAUAACUGACAACAACUUUUUUUUUUUCUAAUUUUUUUUUAAUACAGGUGAAAGCCUUAGAAACACUGUUUUAAUUAUGCUUUACUGCAAACCCACAAGGUGCUAAAAUAGACCAUGAUCAGACACCAGACAGCCAAAUAUAGACAAGAAAAUAUUUUCAUUUAUGCUAAUUUUUAAACAGCUCACAAUAAGAUUGUUCAGAUAAUAUUUUGAAACCAGAUUCCAUUAUGUGCUGUGCUGCAGAUACAAAGCAGAGAUGAAGGUUUCUGCAUUGUAUUGACAUAAACACCUCCAAGAGGCAAUAGAAACACUCUCAUGGGAAGGGUACCUUCUGAAGAUGACAUUCAUCCCAGCUAAUUUGAGGGGUAAGCACCUCCAUCUGAGUAGAAUGACUCCCAAGCUCCAGGCUCCUAUUACAGUAAUUACAGAUCUAAUCAAUACAGCCAAAGAUUUUUAUGGUUUUUAGGGUGGGGAUCAUUUGAAUAAAGUAAUCAGCUCCACAUUGACCUAAAUUUCACUGGCUGCUAUUGACUCUCAUUAACUGCAAAGGGCUCUUCAGGAUGACUUUCUCAGAUGCAGAGGGGUUCACUGUUGAUAUCUAAAUUUACCUGCACAAACUCAGCAGCCAAAGUCCUUUUAAUGUCAUGAGAGGAAUUGCUCAAGCCACUCAUGUAAGUAAAUAAGCACUGUCCCCCUGUUUGGCCUGGAGAAAAAGGAGGAUGAGGAGUGACCUUAUUGCUUUCUACAACUAUCUGAAAGGAAAUUGUAGUGAGGACACACUCAAGGAGAUGGAUGUUUAAGCACUGGAGUACACGGCCAAGGCUGCCAAAGAUGCAAAUC